rnacentral:rRNA from 1 species
GAUGAACGCUGACAGAAUGCUUAACACAUGCAAGUCAACUUGAAUUUGGGUUUUUAACUUAGGUUUGGGUGGCGGACGGGUGAGUAACGCGUAAAGAACUUGCCUCACAGCUAGGGACAACAUUUGGAAACGAAUGCUAAUACCUAAUAUUAUGAUAAUAGGGCAUCCUAUAAUUAUGAAAGCUAUAAGCGCUGUGAGAGAGCUUUGCGUCCCAUUAGCUAGUUGGAGAGGUAACGGCUCACCAAGGCGAUGAUGGGUAGCCGGCCUGAGAGGGUGAUCGGCCACAAGGGGACUGAGACACGGCCCGUACUCCUACGGGAGGCAGCAGGGGGGAAUAUUGGACAAUGGACCGAGAGUCUGAUCCAGCAAUUCUGUGUGCACGAUGAAGUUUUUCGGAAUGUAAAGUGCUUUCAGUUGGGAAGAAACAAAUGACGGUACCAACAGAAGAAGUGACGGCUAAAUACGUG